UACAGAGGGUGCGAGCGUUGUCCGGAAUCACUGGGCGUAAAGGGCGCGUAGGUGGUGGCUUAAGCGUGCGGUGAAAGCUCGGAGCUCAACUCCGAGUCGGCCGUGCGAACUGGGCUCACUGGAGCAUAGUAGAGGCAGGUGGAAUUCCGGGUGUAGCGGUGGAAUGCGUAGAGAUCCGGAAGAACACCGGUGGCGAAGGCGGUGGUCUGGGCCUGAACUGACGCUGAGGAGCGAAAGCCAGGGGAGCAAAGCGGG
rnacentral:rRNA from 1 species